rnacentral:rRNA from 1 species
CCUACGGGAGGCAGCAGUAGGGAAUAUUGGUCAAUGGACGAAAGUCUGAACCAGCCAUCCCGCGUGCAGGACGACGGCCCUAUGGGUUGUAAACUGCUUUUAUACAGGAAGAAUAAGCCUUACGUGUAAGGUGAUGACGGUACUGUAAGAAUAAGGAUCGGCUAACUCCGUGCCAGCAGCCGCGGUAAUACGGAGGAUCCAAGCGUUGUCCGGAUUUAUUGGGUUUAAAGGGUGCGUAGGCGGUUUGUUAAGUCAGUGGUGAAAGUUUGCGGCUUAACCGUAAAUUGCCAUUGAAACUGACAGACUUGAAUUUGGUUGAGGUUGCCGGAAUGUGUCAUGUAGCGGUGAAAUGCUUAGAUAUGAUACAGAACACCAAUUGCGAAGGCAGGUAACUAAACCAAUAUUGACGCUGAGGCACGAAAGCGUGGGGAUCAAACAGGAUUAGAUACCCUGGUAGUCCACGCCCUAAACGUUGAUUACUCGUUGUUGGCGAUACACUGUCAGCGACUAAGCGAAAGCGUUAAGUAAUCCACCUGGGGAGUACGACCGCAAGGUUGAAACUUAAAGGAAUUGACGGCNGAGACGUGCGACGACGACGACGAGGAGUAGG